UACAAGGCAGACGGCUCAGUAACACGUAGUCAACCUACCCUAUGGACAAGAAUAAUCUCGGGAAACUGAGCAUAAUUCUUGAUAGAUCAUAAUGCCUGGAAUGGUUUAUGGUUAAAAUGAUUCGUCGCCAUAGGAUGGGACUGCGGCCUAUCAGCUUGUUGGUGAGGUAAUGGCCCACCAAGGCGAUUACAGGUACGGGCUCUGAGAGGAGAAGCCCGGAGAUGGGUACUGAGACACGGACCCAGGCCCUAUGGGGCGCAGCAGGCGAGAAAACUUUGCAAUGUGCGAAAGCACGACAAGGUUAAUCCGAGUGAUUUCUGCUAAAGAAAUCUUUUGCCAGUCAUAAAACCACUGGUGAAUAAGGGGUGGGCAAGUUCUGGUGUCAGCCGCCGCGGUAAAACCAGCACCUCAAGUGGUCAGGAUGAUUAUUGGGCCUAAAGCAUCCGUAGCCGGCUUUGUUAGUUUUCGGUUAAAUCCAUGUGCUCAACGCAUGGGCUGCCGAAAAUACUGCAUAGCUAGGGAGUGGGAGAGGUAGACGGUACUCAGUAGGAAGGGGUAAAAUCCUUUGAUCUAUUGAUGACCACCUGUGGCGAAGGCGGUCUACCAGAACACGUUCGACGGUGAGGGAUGAAAGCUGGGGGAGCAAACCGGAUUAGAUACCCGGGUAGUCCCAGCUGUAAACGAUGCAGACUCGAUGAUGCGUUGGCAUAUAGCCAAUGCAGUGUCGCAGGGAAGCCGUUAAGUCUGCCGCCUGGGAAGUACGUACGCAAGUAUGAAACUUAAAGGAAUUGGCGGGGGAGCACCACAAGGGGUGAAGCCUG
rnacentral:rRNA from 1 species